AUUCAGCUUUGUUGUCUCUCGUUUGCGGGUGGCAAUAAACUCUCCAUCUAUACUUGACCUGGACUCCCCGAUUCCUCUUGCUUUUAGCUAGUUGAAGUGAAUUAGAUAAGUUGUUAUUAUUAAUGCUAUAACAUUUGGCGUCACGACCAGGACUGAGGAACAGAGACAGCCCGGCUGCUGGACUGACGGACGGGGCACGAGCGGAUCACACAACCCUAGAGCUCGUCAAAUUAUUGUUAAGGACAAUAGGUGGAUUAACGCUACAUCUGCUGGGAAGGGAUCCUACAUGCUAGGUCUCAAUUUACAUUCAGAAGUGGUGGGUUUACCUUUCAAAUGCCAUGACUGCUGCUGCAACACUUUUAUAGAAUAUUAAUAUUUGAUAAUAUGAUACUUUUAACUGAUAAAUUACCUUUAGAUUCACCCCAUCAUAUAUACCCCGCACACAUGGGGUCAAAUUUUAGUUGUUGUUGUAGCUGCUCUGGUGUGUUCAUUACAGCCUUGGUUGCAUGGGCAAUUGUGAUUGAAGACUCUGUCUCCAUCCCUCCACUUUGUGGUCAAAACCACCUUAUGGGUGGGGAUUGAUUGUAUCCCAGGCACGGCAUCCUGCACUAAGCCAGUAUGGAAGGCUGGUUAGCCAACGACGGGUAAGAUCCCACCUUGAAGACCGGGACAACCUAAAACAGGCACAGUCACGAUUACUUGGCAGUCACUGUGAGCACUGGCUCACUUGAUGAUGAAGUGACAUACUGCAACCAUCAUAGGAAGAGCCGGAGGGUCAAAGGUGGAGGGGGAACAGGAGUCAGAUAUGGCAGCCCCAGCAGCAGAGGUGGUGGUAUUGGGACAGGGCAUGUUGCGUUUUAUUUGACAGUUGAGGCAUGAAGGCCUGCUGGCCCAUGAAAUCUUUUCGGUUUAGUGCAUGACUUGGUAACGGCGUGGUUUCAGGGCGGCUGAUGGUAAAACCCACCAAUAUCAACCUUUGGUUUUGGAUAUACUGGCUUCGAUUUCCCUUCCCAAUAGAUUGGUUUUAUUUUACGGAUGGUUAGGGUUAGGAGUUCCAAUGUUGGUUCCACCAACGGCGUUGUUAGGGUUGCCUAUCAUUUAAAUGCGCAUGGUUUUGACCAUUGCGCAAGGGGGGAGGUGUUGAGGAGUGUUGAGGAGAAUUAGAAAACAAGGUUUUUUCUUCACCAUAAUUACAAACAAAAAUUGAUAAACCAACUAAAUGAGUAUAAAUUAUGUGCAAGAAACAAUGUAAGAAAAACAAUCACUGCUACAUUGGGAUACAUUCCCACAGCUGAAGGACCAUUUUGACAUUUGGGCAUGAACUAUGUUGACAUGUUAGUUAUCCUUGACAGGUUCAGCAGAUGGUUAGAAGCAGUCCCAUCAAAAGACCAAAGUACAGCUACAGUAAUCAAGUUUCUGACUAGAGAAGUCAUGCCAAGGUUUGACUAAAUAGAACUGGUUAGAUGCAAUUAUUAUUUUUAUAACUACACAUACACAACUACACACACACACAUCUAUAUACACACAUCCACACACACACACACACACACACACACACACA